AUGUUUGGAUUUGGUGACUGUCUUGCAGGAGUUAGGAGUGCUUUUCUUUUGGCCCAGGUUUUGGUGUUUCCUAAGUACCUGGAGGGAUGUUUCAAGGCACAUUGGAAGUACAGAAGGGAGGAUAUCUUCCUUGGACACGUGGAGGUGAUGCCCUGGGAGCACAGGCCAUGCUGUCCCUGGAGACCUGCAGCCCCUUCCUCACGACCUGCUGUUUCUCCUCGACCUUCAGGUGAUCCCAUGGUUAUAAGCAGCGGGUUUGAUACACGGCAUGGUGCAGGAUGUGUCCACCUCUCCCCCAAGCCUGUGCACACUCAUAGCAUCCUGGCUCUAGCUUGGCAUCCAGGUCCUUUCUUGCUCUUACAUCCCACGCUCUGCAUUUCAUCCAGCCUCAGCACAAAAACUCCUGGAAACACCUCGUCCUGCACCUCAUCCGCAAGUGACCCCAGGAUUGCCUCCACCACACACCUCAUAGACCUCAAUUUGCAGAACAACGGAGGAAAGGGGGAAAAAAGAGCAUGUUGCGGUGCGGUCUUUACAAAAGCCAUUCAUCCCAGUGCUUUUACUAACAGGCAUCAAAUGAGAUUCCUGCAGUAGAUGAUUUGUUUUGUCCUUCUUCUGCCGGCUCAGAUUAAUCUCUGCUCCUGAAGUGGUGGUGUCAUUUCCCGGAGACGUACGGCAGCAGGAAUCGCGGAGCCCCAUAAAUUCGACUCAAUUCAGGAUCCAUCCGUCUUCCUCUGCGCUCUCCAGCCCCGCGCUCUCUGCAGGGCAAGGGCAGCCCCGCAGGUACCGGCGCGCCCGCCUGUUUGCAGGCUAAUAAAUAAAAAAGCCUCAAGAUGGGAGCGGCUGGA
rnacentral:lncRNA from 1 species